UACGUAGGGGGCAAGCGUUGUCCGGAUUUAUUGGGCGUAAAGAGCGUGUAGGCGGCUUGGUAGGUCCGCUGUGAAAACUCGAGGCUCAACCUCGAGAUGUCGGCGGAAACCACUUGGCUAGAGUCCGGAAGAGGAGAGUGGAAUUCCUGGUGUAGCGGUGAAAUGCGCAGAUAUCAGGAAGAACACCUAUGGCGAAGGCAGCUCUCUGGGACGGUACUGACGCUGAGGCACGAAAGCGUGGGGAGCAAACAGG
rnacentral:rRNA from 1 species